rfam:Dipodomys ordii contig_20430, whole genome shotgun sequence.
GUGAAUGUGACUUAAUGGUAGAGUGCUUGCCUAGUAUGCAUGAAACCCUGGAUUCGAUUCCUCAGUAUCACA